GCGCACAAGCGUGACGCCAUUUUGAACAUUGGAGCCCGGACAAAGAAGCACACCACAGAGAAACCUCAGAAAUAUGGAAGGCGAAGAUUCCAAUCAGUCCCCAUACGUAACAGAAUUGAAAGUAGAACUUUCCAAGAUUAAUAAUGAUGAUUAUGUGCAUGCAACACGUCUUCUUACCGAAGAAACAAAGAGGGUGGAAUCUGGAGAUAAGUACAAAAAUGUACCACUAGUUGAGCUUCAUCAUGACAGACCACAUAGCAAUGCUGUUAAAAUCAGGAUUCCCGCAAAGGAAUUUCCAAGGGUAAAUUUCUCUGGAAAGUUGCUUGGACCUAAAGGCAGUACCCUUAAACAGCUCCAGCAAGAAACUGGAUGUAAACUUUCAAUUCUUGGAAAAGGGUCGAUGAGAGACAAAAAUAAGGAAGAAGAGCUAAGGAAAGAAGGUGGCAAGUAUGCACAUCUGAAUGAAGAGUUACACCUGCUUGUGGAGUGCUUUGCAGAGACCGUAGAUGCCUAUGGAAGGCUUGCCAAUGCAAUUACCAAGCUCAAAGAAUUUAUGAACCCGGAGGCUGAUCCACAGGCAUUGCAAGGCAUGAUGGCUGCUCCAAUGGAAGACAGAGGCUAUUACAAUGGCGAAGGUCCGAUGGGUCGUGGCGGACCUGGUCCCAGAGGAGCUCCAGGCGGUAGAGGAGGCAUCUUGAAUACACCUGGUGGCAGAGGUGCAAUGCCCCCUGGAAGGGGUGGAGCUGCAGGUCCACCAGUUGGCAGAGGAGCCCCACCACCAAGGGGUGCUCUUGCUCCACGAGGAGCUCCAGCUCCAAGAGGUGCACCUGCUCCGAGAGGAGCCCCAGCUCCCCGUGGUGCUCCAUCUAUGCGAGGUGCUCCUCCUCAAAGGGGGGCACCUGCUGCUAGAGGAGCUCCAAUGGGGAGAGGUUCUGCACCACCUACCAGAGGUGCUCCGCAAGCCAGUCGAGGACGUGGCAUGCCACCAGCAGUGUCUAUGUCUAGGCCUCCUCCAGCUGUACCAGAGUAUGAUGAUUAUGGAGCAGCAGAGACUGCUUACAGUCAGGAUCCUUAUGCACAAACAUACACAGCACAAGAAACUUAUGAUGAUGGAUAUGCUAGGAGGGACCCAUAUGCUGAGGAAGCUUACCAAGAACCAGUAGCUGCUGCUGGAGAUACACAGUAUUUUGAUUACGGACAUGGAGCUCAGUCAUACACUGAUGACUAUGCAGAUACUGGCAGAGCACAAGUAAGACCACCCCAAACCUCUGGUUAUGAUAGAAGCGCUAUGAAAGCUCCGCCACCUGUCAUGUCUCGUGGUGGACGUGGUGCCAGGACACAUCCAUAUGAAACAGCAGCGAGACCAGGCUUUGCACAAAGUCGAUUCAGCAGUUACUGAGGGCUAUUCAUGUCACCCGGAGAUAUCCAUUCUAUAUAUUGUCAAGUGUUGCAGUUGUACAAGCUAGGCAUCAAAGAUGGAGGUUGGAGAGAGUAUAAAGCACUCCUGGGUUCCACUGAGUGGGAUAAUAGUCACUUCUGUGGAAACUACAGUUGCUUUACAUAACUGAUCUACCAUGGAUUCGCUUCUGUGGAAACUGAAGGUGCUUUACCAAAACUGGAUCUACCAUAGAUUCACUAAUGCGGAAACUGCAGUUGCUUUACCACAAGGGGAUCUACUCUGGAAUUAUCCAAAACUUGGUUUGGGCUAAGAUUGUUUAAACAUUUGACAGAAUCUUGUUAUCUUGGAUGCAGUGCACUCAUUAAGUGUGGCUUCGUUCAUGAAAGUGAAGGAACAUUAGUGGAAGGCGAACCGGAUUAAUUCCUGUCAAGAGUUGAACUGUCUACAAUGCAGAAAGACUUAAAAAGAACUUGAAUAUUACACAAGAGUUAUGUUGGUAUCUGUCUUGAAUAAUUAAAGGAGAAAGAAAAA
rnacentral:misc_RNA from 1 species